rnacentral:rRNA from 1 species
CAUGCCUACGGGACGCAGCAGUGGGGAAUAUUGCACAAUGGGGGAAACCCUGAUGCAGCGACGCCGCGUGAGUGAAGAAGUAUUUCGGUAUGUAAAGCUCUAUCAGCAGGGAAGAAAAUGACGGUACCUGACUAAGAAGCCCCGGCUAACUACGUGCCAGCAGCCGCGGUAAUACGUAGGGGGCAAGCGUUAUCCGGAUUUACUGGGUGUAAAGGGAGCGUAGACGGUGAUGCAAGUCAGAAGUGAAAGCCCGCGGCU